rnacentral:misc_RNA from 1 species
UUUUGCCGCCAUGUUGUAAGUAGACUAGGCAGUAUCUUUCGAGCGAGUUACAAGUGCUAUGGUUCUUUGUCGUUCUCUCACGGUAGCACAAGUAGGCCCAGGUGAAACUGCUGCAUUGGAACUUGGAAGCCUUCUUGAAGCAUGCGUGCUGAUUAACGAAAAGAAAUGGACAGGUCUGAAUCCUCUCCGAAAACAUAUGGUAUAACUUCCCCCAUAAGUCUUCAGGGUCCUAAACCAGAAGACUUGGUGAACACUGAGAAGUUAGUGGAAGCCCUGAAGCCACAUGGUGUCUUCGAAAAUGAGGAGGAACUUAACCACAGAAUGGUUGUUCUGUCCAAAUUGGAUGGAAUUGUCAAAGACUGGGUUCGAGAGAUGUCUUUGAAAAGAAACAUUCCAUCCACUAUAGCAGAUACUGUUGGAGGGAAAAUCUACACUUUUGGAUCCUACAGACUAGGAGUACACACAAAAGGUGCUGAUAUUGAUACAUUGUGUGUGGUACCUCGGCAUGUGGAUCGUUCAGACUUCUUCGGUUCCUUUCAGGAAAUUUUAAGAGCCAUGCCAGAAGUCAAAGAUCUUCGGGCAGUGGAAGGUGCCUUUGUUCCUGUCAUUAAAAUGAUAUUUGAUGGCAUAGAGAUGGAUUUGCUGUUUGCAAGAUUGGCGCUUCAAAUCAUUCCUGAAGAUCAGGAUCUUACGGAUGACAGCUUGCUGAAAAACUUAGAUCCCAAAUGUGUUAGAAGUUUAAAUGGUUGUAGAGUCACUGAUGAGAUUCUUAAUUUAGUACCAAACAAGGAGAAUUUCAGAUUAGCUCUGAGGGCUGUCAAACUGUGGGCCAAAAAACGAGGGAUAUACUCCAAUGCUUUAGGGUUCCUGGGUGGUGUUUCCUGGGCAAUGCUUGUGGCAAGGACAUGUCAGCUCUAUCCUAAUGCAGCACCUUCUACUAUUGUACACAAGUUCUUUCUCGUUUUCACACAGUGGCAGUGGCCCCAACCAGUAUUAUUGAAGCAACCAAAGCCAACUACAGACUUGGGCUUUACUGUUUGGGAUCCUAGGGUCAACGUUCCAGAUAGAUUCCAUCUAAUGCCUAUCAUUACUCCAGCAUAUCCUCAGCAGAACUCUACAUACAAUGUUACCCUAUCCACCAAGUUCAUCAUGGAACAGGAGAUAAAAGGAGGGCUGGCUAUCACACAAGAGGUUCUUCAGGGCAAAGCAACCUGGGACAAGCUCUUUGAAUCAAUCAAUUUCUUCCAAAAGUACAAGCAUUAUAUUGUUCUCACAGCAAGUGCUGGCUCACUAGAACACCAUCUGGAAUGGGUGGGUCUUGUUGAGUCUAAGAUCAGGAUUCUGGUUGGAAACCUUGAGAGAAACAGCUACAUCAAGUUGGCUCAUGCAAACCCUAAAUCAUUUGAUCCCCAACAAAUGGAGGAGAAGACAGAUGUUAUUGCCUCCCUGUGGUUCAUUGGUUUGGAGUUCCAGCAGACUGAUUCCUCUACUAAUGUAGACCUCACCUUUGACAUCCAGAACUUUGUGGACACUGUCCACAGACAAGCGAUUAGUAUUGGUAUGCUGAAGGAUGGUAUGAAGAUAGAAGCCAACUAUGUCAAGAGGAAACAGUUGUCACAAUUCCUGCCCAACACAGUCCUCAAAUUCAAGAAGAAAUCUUUGCAGAGCCAGGAUUCUCCUAGUAACACAGCACCAGCAGACCUUCAGCAGAAAGACAGAACAGAUUCCCUCACACCACAUCAUAAGACAGCCCGCACAAUCGUCAAACCAGACCACAUGACAGAGGAGGAGUUCCUCUAUGGUGUAGUCAGUGACAACCAUUCAAGAACACAUCUAACCAAAUCUGCUAGUAGUCCAGCUCUUAUUAGAGGGCAGUCAUCCGUACAAGUACAGAAUGAACUAGAAGUAACAGGGAGCAGUAGUGACACCUGUGUGGGAAAUAGCAAUGGCCAGCCAGUAGAUACACAGCUGUCAGGUGCAUCAACUGCAUCCAGUGACCAGUCUCAGGAAAACUCAGAUGGACCCUUGGUUUUGAGCAGUAGCCAUAACAAAGGAAAGAUAAGUCCCUCAGUAGAUGAUGGCACACUCUUCAAGGAACCGUUGUCUCCAGAAUCAUCUCAAGCAUCGAUAAAUGCAAGCAAAAGUUUUGAAGCAUCACUAGAUUCCAUUGAUAGCACAACUGACUCAGGGAGAGGUACACCAGAGGAGGGAAGUGGUAGUAUCAAAAGACCAUCGUCUCCUGAACCUUCACCAAUUCAAUCACCACCCAAGAGAGCCAAAGCUGAUAAUCAACCAGAAGAUACCCUGUUGACAACUACAGCAGACCAUUCUUUACAACGAAAUGGCCAACAAAGUGGAAAGACGGAUAGUUUGCAACCUAUGACUUUAGAUAUACGACAGCCCUUAGUGAGGACAUUGGGCUGGAAUUCUUUGCAGUGUACAACAUGAGUGUACUGAGAAAUGUGACUUGACUCUUGAGUCUGUGGUACUCAAGAACUGUUUCAUUUCAUUUAAAACCAGCGUCUGCCCAGUGGUGAAUUGCCUGACAUGUCGUCACCUAUGCCUACACAAGUCACUCUGGUCAAGAAUUCCAUAAAGCUUAACCUCAAG